CAAAGUCCAUGUAUGAAAAGGCUUCUGAUAAGCUUAAGAAACAAAAAGCAGUAAGGAAGUGUUCCAAGUGCAGGCUGCCAGGCCAUAAAAAGCCACAAUGCCCCCAAAAUAAUCCGGUGACAUAACGCAACGUCGUGGGCAGAGAGCUACAACGCACAUAGGAUGCUACGGGAAAGAAAUGGAGGCAAUUAUCUUCUUGGGGCACUUUUUUUUUGCAUGGUGGCGCAGAGAAAAACGAUGAGCAUUUUUACUUGUGUGUAUGUUACCGAACCUGAUACUAGCAGGAAGAAAAAGUGGACGAAAAAAGGAAGUAUCUUGUAAGGCCUGUGUUGUCGUUUUAGUUUGAAAGACUACCUAUAAAAAGAUAUUUAUGCUGUAAGUUAUUGACAUUUACGCUGUAAGUUAUUAACCUACGAAAAAAUCAGGGAAUGAAAAGAAAUAGAAGGGAUGUUCUUCAAA